GAUAGGGCAGAGGCAAAGUGGAAAUGCAGGCUGACGCUGGCUGGCAUCUGCGGGAUUGGUUCCUACAGGUUUAAUAUCGCUCGAGCUAAUAGCGUACAUGUUGUUGUGAAGUCAAGCGCCACUAGAACCGACUAUUAAGACUGGCAACAGGGAACCAAAGGCAAAGUACUUGGAACAAAUGUAUGGCUUUUCUCCAAGACAGGCUGGGAAAGCAUGCCCCAUCAAGAGACUAGUUCUGGUGUGCGCCUAAAACAAUGUGACAGCGCUGGAGAGCAGAAUGCGGAGUGUCUUGCAUCAGUGCUAGAAAAAUCCUGGUCACGUCUCUGCUGUGUGUCUGCGACAGGAGCUGUCCUUGGCAAGGUCAUGAGGAAGAUUUCAGACACAGUGUUCUUCAGAACUAAGAUCCUUGGUGUGUAAGAAAGAAGAUACAGAUGUAAUAUAGAAAAGUUUAAGUAAAAGCCCUCUAACUUUGCAUUUAAAUUGUCUGUAUGAACUUCUGAGGUAUUUUAACUUGUAUAAAUGUUUUCUAGAUGUAUCCAAUAAAAAUGCUAUAUAAAUAAUGAUCAACAGAGAGGCAACACACCCCCUAACAUCCAGUGAUUGUACGGAAGCAUCAGACCCCCUGAGGGAUAUCAAGGAUUCUUGGAGAAAUGGCUGACUCCAGGUCUGCAGUAGGAAAUAGACAUAAUGGACCUGGAAUAGCCUGUCACAUUAGAUAUCAAGGAGGUUCUCAAAGAGUCAUAGCAGGAGGGUUCAGAAGAGGCCUCCACUGAUCAAAUAUGGAACAAUUUGAGCUUGAAUAAAAGUAAUUAUAAAGGGGAAUCAAGCAUUUAUACUGACUUGUUCCUAAGUACUAUAUCACUGAGUAACCAGAGGAUAUUUUUUUCCCCAAAAUACCCCAUGAAUAAAUAAAGAAGUCAUAGAAGACAACACUGACAUUUUGCACCCACUAAAGAAUUAAUGGAUUGAAGGUUUGACAUGAUGGCUGUGAAGAUUCCAGAAAAAUUGACAGCAAAAUAUUAUCUGCCUCCUAUUGGAAGACCACUCUGUCGCUCAUUAGAAGAAACCAAUAGUCUUGCAAAAGAGGCCAACCCUGAAGUGGAAUCCAGGAAAUUUAGAGUAUGGGAAGCACGUACAGCUCAAAUGACCCAGGUCCUUUAAUAAAUAAGUUAAAAGGAUGGUGGGGGGAGGGGGCAUGUAGAUUAGAAGAGAUCUAAUACACAUGUCAAUUUCUAUGGGAAAUUGUUCUAUGGGAAAGACCAGACUUCUGGUUUCAGUUGAUGGGGGAUGCGCUCUCCCUCUCCCACUGCCUAUAGCCAAAAUCCUGGAAAGAAUAUACAAAGCGACUGACUGUCUGAGGACUGUGCAAAUAAACCACACUAGGUGCACUGAGGGGGGAUUUAAGAUCCUGAAAACGGUGACUAUGGAGGCGGCAUUGCUGCUUUUUUGGUUUUGAUUUGUUUUUCUUCUUAUAGCUCCCUGAUUAGUAUCGGGGGAGCAGAUCCUGGAACUGUGCUACAUGCAUGGGCAGAGAAAGUUCCAGGAGACACUCCUUUAUUUCUAAGCAGUGGUUGAGGACAGGUGGGGCCUUACAGGAUGCAUAGGGGAAGUUUCUGUGACUUUCUUCCUGCUCUCUUCUGGUUCUUCCAUGAGGCAGUACAGGGAAGAUGCGCCGCGGGAGCCGUGCUGGCAGCAGCAGGGGUGCAGAAGUACCUAAGACCCCAAGUGUUCUGGAACAACUAGGUCCUGGUGUAAAGUACCCCAAGGUACCCUGAAACUGAAGAAAAGAAGCAGACGGAUUCGAGACUGCAGGGCGCAGUUAUUGAGGGAUUCACUGAUAGAAACACAGACUGGGAGGCAGCAUCACCAAGUGGAUUCCUGCGAUUUGGAUCAGGAAGGGAGGUGUAUGUAAAGACUGGUUAGGACAAAGUGACUUCAUCCAAAUUGUAAUCUAACUGGUUUAUCUUAAGCAAAUAUCAAAGAGUCAGGCACAUUUUUGGCACCAGGAUCUCAAUGUAAAGAUCCACAUACCACUGUGAUGGUUUUGUUUGUUUACAGUAUACUGGGAACAAUGCACAGAAAACGGUAAGGGUCACUUAGAGCAAUCAGGGUGGUUAUGAUUCAAGAUGGCUGCAGUCAUGUCAAGUUGAAUCCAUGCUCUGAGAGAGAAAAGUCCUUCUGCUUGAGGAAAGGAAGAGACAAAAAGGAAUCCCUGUUAUCUGGUACAGAGAAAGUUGUUGCUGUUUGCUAUGGUCUAGAUAUGAGGUAUCCCCAAAAGCUCGUGUGUGAGACAAUGCCAGAAAUUUUAGAGGUAGCUGCUUUUGAAGUAAGGGAGGAAGUUGUUUGAGGAAGAAACAUGGAGGAGAUUUUAAGAUGGCUGACAAAGUUCUGUUUCCUAACCUAAUAAUCAUUCAUUAGGCUACACACUUGUGUGGGUUUCUGUAUCUAUAACUUAUUUAGCAAUAAAAGUUACAUAGAUAGUCAAUAAAAUUUCAACAAAAAAUCCAAUAUAGUUUUAUGUAGGACUUUUUCAAGUAAAGAUGACAAACAGUAACAAUGACCACAAGAGCUAGGGAGAUUGCCAUCCCAGAUAUCCAAAAUGAUCACUCUUAAGAUAAUUUGUACAAUGUGGUUUUAAUUUAGGAAGAGGGGUGUUGAACAGUGGAAUAGAACAGUUCUGAAGCCCAGGCAGCCUAUCUGGCAACUUGAAUGGUACAGAGUAGACAUUCAAGAAUUGGAGGAAAGAUGGAUUAUUUAAUUAGUUGUGCUGGAGAACUGAUUAUCCAGAUUUUAAAAAUUACAUCUCUGUCUCAUAUGCUAUGCAAAUAUAAUUUCCAGUUAGAUUAAAAAUUAAAUGUGAAAGGCAAAAAUUAUAAAUACUUAGAAGAGAAUAUCAUUAUUACUUCCACUCAGGGAAGCAUUUCUUAAGCCUCAAAGAGCACAAAGCCUAACAGGAAAAACAUGUGCUUUGAAAUAAAGAACAUAUAUUUACCACAGAGUGUAAGUUAAAAAAAAUCCAUAAAUUAGCAGAAGGUAUUUAAAAAGUUUUGAUCUAUGUAAGAUUAGUAUCCAGAAUAUUCAGAAUAAAAGGUAAGUGAAAUGCCACUGUCCACUAAAGCAAUUGUCAAAAAUCCCUAAGAUAACACCAAAUACUGACAACGGCAGAGAAUAUCAGGAACUCACCUGCUGCCGUGGGAAUGCAAAAAGUGGUAUAACCACUUUGGAAAACAAUUUGCACUGCUUCACAAUGCAAGAAAAGUCAGGAAUAUGGAGCAUAAAUUCGGAAUAAUGGCCGCCUUUGUGAGAGGAAGAGAGAACAUUUGCUUGAAGCUUUAAUGUGCUGAUGAUGUUCUGUCUCUUAAGCUGGAUGGUGCGUGUGAGCAUUCGUAGUGUUAAUGUAACUUGAACUCUCCAGGUAUGUUUUGUAUACUCUUUUGAAUGUGUGAUUUAUUUCACAGUGAAAAAGAAAACAUUUUAAUGCAAUAUUACCUGCAACCUGUUCAAAUAUACUGAACAAUUAUAUAUUCUUUAUUCAAGUUAUGUUUUUCUAAACACCUGUUUUAUACUCAGGAUGUGUAAGGUCUUUUGAUGUCCACGAGAAAAGUACAGUAUUAUUAAAAUGUUUACAUGGAGAA